GAUGAACGCUGGCGGCGUGCCUAAUACAUGCAAGUCGAGCGAACAGACGAGGAGCUUGCUCCUCUGACGUUAGCGGCGGACGGGUGAGUAACACGUGGAUAACCUACCUAUAAGACUGGAUAACUUCGGGAAACCGGAGCUAAUACCGGAUAAUAUAUUGAACCGCAUGGUUCAAUAGUGAAAGACGGUUUUGCUGUUACUUAUAGAUGGAUCCGCGCCGCAUUAGCUAGUUGGUAAGGUAACGGCUUACCAAGGCGACGAUGCGUAGCCGACCUGAGAGGGUGAUCGGCCACACUGGAACUGAGACACGGUCCAGACUCCUACGGGAGGCAGCAGUAGGGAAUCUUCCGCAAUGGGCGAAAGCCUGACGGAGCAACGCCGCGUGAGUGAUGAAGGUCUUCGGAUCGUAAAACUCUGUUAUUAGGGAAGAACAAAUGUGUAAGUAACUAUGCACGUCUUGACGGUACCUAAUCAGAAAGCCACGGCUAACUACGUG
rnacentral:rRNA from 1 species